AUUAGCUAGUUGGUGAGGUAAUGGCUCACCAAGGCGACGAUCCCUAGCUGGUCUGAGAGGAUGAUCAGCCACACUGGAACUGAGACACGGUCCAGACUCCUACGGGAGGCAGCAGUGGGGAAUAUUGCACAAUGGGCGCAAGCCUGAUGCAGCCAUGCCGCGUGUGUGAAGAAGGCCUUCGGGUUGUAAAGCACUUUCAGUCGUGAGGAAGGUGGUAGUGUUAAUAGCACUAUCAUUUGACGUUAGCGACAGAAGAAGCACCGGCUAACUCCGUGCCAGCAGCCGCGGUAAUACGGAGGGUGCGAGCGUUAAUCGGAAUUACUGGGCGUAAAGCGCAUGCAGGUGGUUUGUUAAGUCAGAUGUGAAAGCCCGGGGCUCAACCUCGGAAUAGCAUUUGAAACUGGCAGACUAGAGUACUGUAGAGGGGGGUAGAAUUUCAGGUGUAGCGGUGAAAUGCGUAGAGAUCUGAAGGAAUACCGGUGGCGAAGGCGGCCCCCUGGACAGAUACUGACACUCAGAUGCGAAAGCGUGGGGAGCAAACAGGAUUAGAUACCC
rnacentral:rRNA from 1 species